rnacentral:ncRNA from 1 species
UCGGGGCCAGCAGACUCCCGGCCAUCCCAAGGCGGUUCGCCGUCCAAGGUCUGC